rnacentral:rRNA from 1 species
UACAGAGGUGGCAAGCGUUGUUCGGAAUUACUGGGCGUAAAGGGCGCGUAGGCGGUCCUGAUCGUCGGAUGUGAAAGGCCUGGGCUCAACCUGGGAAUGGCAUCCGGUACGGCGGGACUGGAGUGUGGGAGAGGUUGGUGGAAUUCCCAGUGUAGAGGUGAAAUUCGUAGAUAUUGGGAAGAACACCGGUGGCGAAGGCGGCCAACUGGACCACAACUGACGCUGAGGCGCGAAAGCGUGGGGAGCAAACAGG